rnacentral:pre_miRNA from 1 species
UAAGUACUCCCUCCGUCCCAAAAUUCUUGUCUUAGAUUUGUCUAAAUACGGAUGUAUCUAGUUACGUUUUAGUGUUAGAUACAUUCGUAUCUAGACAAAUCUAAGACAAGAAUUUUGGGACGGAGGGAGUAUCUG